GUGGGCAACCUGCCCCUAGCUCUGGGAUAACUCCGGGAAACCGGUGCUAAUACUGGAUAUCAACUUCGUGGCGCAUGUCGUGUGGUUGAAAGUUUUUCGGCUAGGGAUGGGCCCGCGGCCUAUCAGCUUGUUGGUGGGGUAAUGGCCUACCAAGGCGACGACGGGUAGCCGGCCUGAGAGGGCGACCGGCCACACUGGGACUGAGACACGGCCCAGACUCCUACGGGAGGCAGCAGUGGGGAAUAUUGCGCAAUGGGCGAAAGCCUGACGCAGCGACGCCGCGUGAGGGAUGACGGCCUUCGGGUUGUAAACCUCUUUCAGCUCUGACGAAGCGAAAGUGACGGUAGGAGCAGAAGAAGCACCGGCCAACUACGUGCCAGCAGCCGCGGUAAUACGUAGGGUGCAAGCGUUGUCC
rnacentral:rRNA from 1 species